rnacentral:lncRNA from 1 species
AGUACCUUAGUCUUAGCAUUGACUGAUCUUUUUUCGCAAGAAUAAGAUAUUUGUAAUUUGCAAAUAUAUUUUCUCUUGAUUAGGGACAACCAUUUAAAUUUACCACAUAAAAUUAGUUGCCUGUAGAGAUCACACGUGAUGAAGCAUUAGUGGCCACAGUUGUGGCCAGUUCACUAAUGAUCAGACUAAGAAGACCGAACAAGCAAGGAGAGACCUCUAUAGAUAUAUGCACUACCACAACAGAUACAAGGCUCACACCGACUCUCUUAAGCAGGAAGCAAAGCUUAAGAAUGAGAUCCAAGGGAAGAUAUCCAUUUCAGAAAAUAAGGAGUCAAAGAUAAAAGAUUAUGCACUACCACUUGAUGUCACUCAACAUGUAAUCAGAAGCAGGGGAACAUCAGAGACAUGCAGAUUAUCUCACCUGAUGGUAGGUUUUGCCAUUCUCUGUAUCGUAGAUCCAGUGACCAACAACCUGGACUCAUAGCGCCUGGUUGCGCUUCUUGGCCUUGACAUCUUGCGCUAUGACCUCCAGCGGUUGCGGACCUGUGCAAAGAAUGAAUUCCUGAAAGAAGUCCCCCCUCUCAGAGAGUAGAAAUGUAUGGGGAGUGUAUGAAGUUUAAAUUAAAGGCUGGAUGCGGACCUGUGCAAUAUAUAUGGGUAUGCUUCAUCAACAAUGGCAAGUUCAGGAUCUCCCACCAAAGCUAUCCCUUCUAAUACUCCAAU